GAUGAACGCUGGCGGCGUGCCUAAUACAUGCAAGUCGAGCGAACGGACGAGAAGCUUGCUUCUCUGAUGUUAGCGGCGGACGGGUGAGUAACACGUGGAUAACCUACCUAUAAGACUGGGAUAACUUCGGGAAACCGGAGCUAAUACCGUAUAAUAUUUUGAACCGCAUGGUUCAAAAGUGAAAGACGGUCUUGCUGUCACUUAUAGAUGGAUCCGCGCUGCAUUAGCUAGUUGGUAAGGUAACGGCUUACCAAGGCAACGAUGCAUAGCCGACCUGAGAGGGUGAUCGGCCACACUGGAACUGAGACACGGUCCAGACUCCUACGGGAGGCAGCAGUAGGGAAUCUGCCGCAAUGGGCGAAAGCCUGACGGAGCAACGCCGCGUGAGUGAUGAAGGUCUUCGGAUCGUAAAACUCUGUUAUUAGGGAAGAACAUAUGUGUAAGUAACUGUGCACAUCUUGACGGUACCUAAUCAGAAAGCCACGGCUAACUACGUG
rnacentral:rRNA from 1 species